rnacentral:rRNA from 1 species
UACGUAGGGGGCGAGCGUUGUCCGAAGUUACUGGGCGUAAAGCGCGCGUAGGCGGUCUCUUAAGUCUGGUGUGAAAGGUUCAGGGCUCAACCCGAAGAGUGCACUGGAUACUGGGGAGACUUUGAGUUUGGGAGAGGAGAGUGGAAUUCCUGGUGUAGCGGUGAAAUGCGCAGAUAUCAGGAGGAAACACCGGUGGCGAAGGCGGGUCUCUGGGCCGAUACUGACGCUGAGGAGCGAAAGUGUGGGGAGCGAACAGG